rnacentral:rRNA from 1 species
ACGCGAGGGGCUUUCGGGUCCCUUGAGUGGCGCACGGGUGAGUAGCGCGUGGGAACCCGCCUUCUUGUGGGGGAUAACCGAGGGAAACUUCGGCUAAUACCGCAUGCGCCCCGGGGCAACCCGGGGGAAAGAUUUAUCGCAGGAAGAGGGGCCCGCGUCCGAUUAGGUAGUUGGCGGGGUAACGGCCCACCAAGCCAUCGAUCGGUAGCUGGUCUGAGAGGAUGAUCAGCCACACUGGGGAUGAGACACGGCCCAGGAUCCUACGGGAGGCAGCAGUGGGGAAUAUUGGACAAUGGGCGCAAGCCUGAUCCAGCAAUGCCGCGUGAGUGAUGAAGGCCUUAGGGUUGUAAAGCUCUUUCGGCGGGGACGAUGAUGACGGUACCCGCAGAAGAAGCCCCGGCUAACUUCGUGCCAGCAGCCGCGGUAAUACGAAGGGGGCGAGCGUUGUUCGGAAACUACUGGGCGUAAAGGGCGCGCAGGCGGUCCUGUCAGUCGAGUGUGAAAGCCCCGGGCUCAACCUGGGAAAGGCGCUCGGGACGGCGGGGAUUGAGAUCGGGAGAGGAGCGUGGAAACUCCCAGUGUAGAGGUGAAAUUCGUAGAUAUUGGGAAGAACACCGGUGGCGAAGGCGGCGCUCUGGACCGAUACUGACGCUGAGGCGCGAAAGCGUGGGGAGCAAACAGGA